rnacentral:rRNA from 1 species
UGGGGAAUCUUGGACAAUGGGGGAAACCCUGAUCCAGCCAUGCCGCGUGAGUGAUGAAGGCCUUCGGGUUGUAAAGCUCUUUCGCACGUGACGAUGAUGACGGUAACGUGAGAAGAAGCCCCGGCUAACUUCGUGCCAGCAGCCGCGGUAAUACGAAGGGGGCUAGCGUUGUUCGGAAUUACUGGGCGUAAAGCGCGCGUAGGCGGUUGUGUAAGUCAGGGGUGAAAUCCCAGAGCUUAACUCUGGAACGGCCUCUGAGACUGCAUAGCUAGAGAACGGAAGAGGUGAGUGGAAUUCCCAGUGUAGAGGUGAAAUUCGUAGAUAUUGGGAAGAACACCGGUGGCGAAGGCGGCUCACUGGUCCGUUUCUGACGCUGAUGCGCGAAAGCGUGGGGAGCAAACAGGAUUAGAUACCCCCGUAGUCC